rnacentral:rRNA from 1 species
UUCUUUAAGAAAAUAAAUUAAAGUACAUCCUGCUCAAUGAUCAAAACUUAAAUAGCCGCAGAUUACUGUGCUAAGGUAGCAUAAUAACUUGCUUUCUAAUUAAAAGAUAGAAUGAAAGGCCAAACAUUUAAAAUUUGUCUCUAAACACAAAAAUAAACUUAAGAAAAAAGUCAAAACUCUUUUAUAAUUAGCGGGACGACAAGACCCUGACAAACUCAACAAUUAGUUGGGGAAACACAAUAAUAAUUAUUUAACUAACUUAAAAACAAAACUUAACAAAAAAUAAAGAAAAGUUACUGCAGGGAUAACAGCGUUAUUUCUUUUAAGAGACCCUAUCAAAAAAGAAGAUUACGACCUCGAUGUUGAAUUAAUUAUCCUACUUAAUGCAAUAAUUAAAAUAUUAGGUAGUCUGUUCGACUAUUAAAAAAUU